UGGGGAAUUUUGGACAAUGGGCGCAAGCCUGAUCCAGCCAUGCCGCGUGCGGGAAGAAGGCCUUCGGGUUGUAAACCGCUUUUGUCAGGGAAGAAAUCUUCUGAGUUAAUACCUCGGGAGGAUGACGGUACCUGAAGAAUAAGCACCGGCUAACUACGUGCCAGCAGCCGCGGUAAUACGUAGGGUGCAAGCGUUAAUCGGAAUUACUGGGCGUAAAGCGUGCGCAGGCGGUUUUGUAAGACAGAGGUGAAAUCCCCGGGCUCAACCUGGGAACUGCCUUUGUGACUGCAAGGCUUGAGUGCGGCAGAGGGGGAUGGAAUUCCGCGUGUAGCAGUGAAAUGCGUAGAUAUGCGGAGGAACACCGAUGGCGAAGGCAAUCCCCUGGGCCUGCACUGACGCUCAUGCACGAAAGCGUGGGGAGCAAACAGGAUUAGAUACCCUGGUAGUCCACGCCCUAAACGAUGUCAACUGGUUGUUGGGAAGGUUCCUUCUCAGUAACGUAGCUAACGCGUGAAGUUGGCCGCCUGGGGAGUACGGCCGCAAGGUUG
rnacentral:rRNA from 1 species